GAAAUGGAGUGGGGUGCUCUGAAAUGAUCCGUUUUCACAGCGAAGCUGCGAUGGGCUGUUUUGGAAGAAUCCGUUCCCAUGACCCUGAUUUCCGGCGAAUGGAUUUAUUUCCCCCAGAGUUUAGUGAAGAAAAGCUCUCGGAGAUAACAGCCCGGCCCCAGGACUCGCAGAAAAAGAGAAAGAGAGGCCGGCCUGGCCUAGCGGAAAGGACGCCGAGAGUCCAGAGACCGGCGUUUGACUCCCAGCUCUGUCUCCGGUCCGUGGUGUGACGUUGGGAGAGUCGCUUAACCUUUCCGGGCGUCGGUGUGGGGGAUACGAUACUCGCUCUCUCUUCCUCUUGGACUGCGAGCCCGUGUGGGACAGGGACUGUGUUCGGUCUCACUGUAUCUAACUCAAUUCACGGCGUCCAGUAGGUACCUAAUAAAGGAUUUAAAAACCACCCCCAA